rnacentral:rRNA from 1 species
UAGGGAAUAUUGGACAAUGGGGGCAACCCUGAUCCAGCCAUGCCGCGUGAGUGAAGAAGGCCCUCGGGUUGUAAAGCUCUUUUGUCCGGAAAGAAAAGCAUUCGGUGAAUACCCGGAUGUUCUGACGGUACCGGAAGAAUAAGCACCGGCUAACUUCGUGCCAGCAGCCGCGGUAAUACGAAGGGUGCAAGCGUUACUCGGAAUUACUGGGCGUAAAGCGUGCGUAGGUGGUUGUUUAAGUCUGAUGUGAAAGCCCUGGGCUCAACCUGGGAAUGGCAUUGGAAACUGGGCAGCUAGAGUGCGGUAGAGGGUAGCGGAAUUCCCGGUGUAGCAGUGAAAUGCGUAGAGAUCGGGAGGAACAUCUGUGGCGAAGGCGACUGCCUGGACCAGCACUGACACUGAGGCACGAAAGCGUGGGGAGCAAACA